rnacentral:rRNA from 1 species
GACGAACCGUCCAAACGUUAUUCGGAAUUACUGGGCUUAAAGGGUGCGUAGGCGGCCUGACAAGUUGGGUGUGAAAUACCUCGGCUCAACCGAGGAACAGCGCUCAAAACUGUCAGGCUUGAGGGAGAUAGAGGUGAGCGGAACUUAAGGUGGAGCGGUGAAAUGCGUUGAUAUCUUAAGGAACACCCGUGGCGAAAGCGGCUCACUGGAUCUCUUCUGACGCUCAUGCACGAAAGCUAGGGGAGCAAAC